UCAGAAAUAGCAAUUACAGUUUUGUGGUACCCAAGAUAUAUCUAGUUAUUUUUAGACCUGUUACAAGGAGUCUCAAUUUCCUCAUUGAAAACAAAGAACAAAACUCACUUUUGUUAUUUAGUAUUCUCAAAAUAUGUUGCUUGUUCUAAGUUCAGGUGAAAGGAUGUCACAACUUUGAAGAAUUGUGAACUUUUGGUCCAAAUUGCUGUGGGUAGGGCUAGAGCUAUUCGUAGAAAAUUUAACGUUUCAGAACAGAUUCAAGAAGUAAUUAAUUAGCUUGAAUCAUCUUUUUUUUUUAAGAUUUACUUACUUAUUUAUUUGAGGGAGAGAGCACACAAACAGGGGGAGCAACAGAGGGGGAGGGAAAAGCAGCCUUCCCGCUUAGCAGGGAGCCCGAUGUGGGGCUCGAUCCCAGGGCCCUGGGAUCAUGACCCAAGCCGAAGACAGAUGCUCAACUGACUGAGCCACCCAGGCGCCCCUCCUUGAAUCAUCUUUUAACUUUAAAGUAGCUGAGGAAGUGGUUAAAAAGAAAAAGUCAUUUCACAAGGGAACUUUAGGCCCAGAUGAUUUUUUACAAGUGAAAUGUUACCAGAGUUUCAAGUAGCAGAUCAUUUCAAUUUUAUAUGAACUUUUCCAGACAAUAGAAAAAAAGGAGACAUUUCCCAGCUCAUUCUACCAGACCUGUAACUCUGAUACUUCAAUCAAAAAGAGAGAGAAAUGAGAGAGAAAAUUUUAGGUGUAUAUCAGUCAUGAAUACAGAAGUAAAAAGUUUUAAAAAGUUCAUUAGCAAACUAAAUCCAGCCGUGUAUAAAAGAGAUCAAACACUACAAUCAGGUUUAUCUCCUAUGUACUCAAAUGGCUUAAUAUUAGAAAAUCUAUAAAUCUACUUCGCCACAUUAACAUACUUAAAAAUCAUAUGAUCAUCUCAAUCGGAGGACAAGGAUUCUCACUAAUAAAAUUUUAAAAGCAUAUUAUUAUAUCAAAUCUUAAUAGUAGGUAUCUGGGUAUUUUGGAAUGGUAGUAUUAUGGGUAUUAUGAUUUUCCAUAAUUUUGCAAGUUCCAAAAUUAUUGUGUAAUCAAUAAUGGUACACACACCUGCACACACACAAACAUAUACACGUACAUAUGUAAUUUGUAGUUGAAGACUAGUUUCUAGUUGGAGACUUUCUAGAAAGGCUGGACUGAAGAAACCAAUCAUUUGCUCAAGACCAAGACUAGAUUUGUCUCACAUCCCACUGCAUUAGGAAAUACUAUUUUCUAUAAAGUUCUAAUUUAUUCUAAGAGGAAAAUAAAGAUUGCUAAAUGGAAGGUUGUCCUUAAAUUAUAAAAUCAUCCAUCUUAGUACAGUGCUAAAAAUAGCCAACAGCUAGUAUGGUACAUUGUUAUAGUAAUGACCUUUAAUGACUCACAUCUCUGAAUCCACUCUGUGUGACCAUGUGCUGCAUUGACUCUGACUUGAGCCAUCUGACUUGCUUUGGCCAGUGGUAUGUUAGCAAAUGUUACACAAGGAUAGACUUGAAAAGCACUUUGUACAUUGAGUCUUGCCCUGUCUUGCUCACGGGGACUCUUCUGCUGUUGCGUAGAGAAGCCUGGAUUAGCCACCUGGGACGUGCGCUAACCACCAAGCAUGGGAAUGAGGCCAUCUUGACCAUCCAGCUAGAGUCAAGUUCCCAGAUGACUGCAGCUGUAUUAGUGACCUCAGGCCUGAUGAGCAAAUGAACUGCCCCGCUAAGGUAGUCUAAAUUACUCACCCAUAGGAUUGUGAGCAAAUAAACCCACUAAGUUUGGGGGUGUAGUGUAGCAGUAGAUAACUGAUAGAGCCAAUAUAGUUGAUAUUGCCAUAGUUACGUACAAAUGUUUGUUACUUAAUGUAUCGAUUAGUGUGCUACCUGUGCUUACUUAGUCUGUUAUAAACCCUUUCCGAAGGAGAAUGAUAGUCCUGUAGUUAGCAUAAAAGGCCAACUUUAAUGCCAAAGCUGAGUUGCCAAAAUGAAGUUUAUUAAGCCAGUCCAGAAAAGAGUUUUGUUUGCUGUAAACAGGUCCCAGACUUAUAUCUCUCUAUUCCUGAUUACAAAGGAGAAUGUUUGCCUAAAUGUUACCUAAGUAGCUGCCCUGGUGAGCUGGUAUGAGAUACCCAUAUUUAGUAAGAUCCGGAAAAGUAAGUUGGUAAAAAUUCAGUAAGUCUCAUUAUGGUGUUCUCAUGGACUGCUGGGGGUUAAAUAGUACGUCUAGCUUUUAAGUGUCUUUUCUGCUUUUAGAAUUGAGUUUUAUUAUUGGGAGAGACUUUAGCAGUAAUUUAAUUUGACUUUGUUAUUUUACAUUUGGGAAGUUGAGAUCCAAAGAUGUUAAUUAAGUGACUUGCCUAGGGUUCUCCAGUUUGAUAGCCAAUCUAGAAUUAGAAUCUUACUCUCCCAACUCAGUCUAAGGAUCUUCCCAUCAGACCUUCUUCCCUUUAGUCCCACCCUGUGGUAUGGUAGCCUUUCUGUUUUUGAAAGCAAUGGCCUACUAUUAACCCAUUUCUAACAGUUUUAUCUAGUGGCUGGUCCUCUGUCUUCUGUCUUGCUAGCUAUGGCACUGCCAUGUAGUGAAACUUUUGGCGGGGAGGUGAGGGGAGAAUUGCCUUCUUUUCUAACUCUCAGAGGUUAGCUUCUGACCUGGGAGAGGCCUAACAUUUCUGUUCCAGAGUCAUUUGGGAAGAAAUGGUUGAGAGGACAUUAUUCUCAAAUCAGGAGACUUCUGGAGAGAUCAGAUCAGUCUUAUUGUGUUGACCCCAUCCUAGAAUGUUUAUUAACUGGCCAUCAGGAGUCUGUUGUUCUGCGGAUGGCUUGAACCAGGGGUUUUUGGGUCUUUCCUGUUUUGGAUCCACUGGCUGGUGCUGUUUAAUCAAAUAAAUGUCCAGGAAAAGAGAAAGUAAAGUAAUAUUUUGACAUAUUCCUAAUAUGUUUGAAUUUGACUAGGAUAGGAUCUGUUCUGAGGUAUAAGGACUUGGAGUUGAACAGGAUUAUACCUGAAAGCAGUGAAGCUGUUUUCCAUGGCUCUCAUCUAUGUCCCCAUAGUAUAGUAUCUAUGCCACUGCAAGGACCACCGUGUUAUGCUUAUGUUUGUGCCUGUUUCUUCUACUACUAGACUCCGAAGAAGGCAGAUACCAUGUCUUUCUCAACUUUCUAUCUCCAGUGUAUAUCUCCUGGUGAGCAUGUAAUAAAGUAUGGUUGAUUGAAUCAAGAAUCUUCUAUUUUUAAAAUUCAGGGUUAGUGUUAAAUAUUUUGAGCCGUCCUGCAGUUAUUUCUCACUCCCAGGCUGUUCUCCAGUUUAUUUAUCUCCAGAUUAUUGACCUCUCUCUGAAGUUCAAGUAACUGCCUCUAUAUUCUAACAUCAGUAAGAUAAGUAGUUACUGUGUUCAGAAUGUUAUAUUGUAAUAUUAGAUGCCAUUGGGAAGUGUGAUUAUGAUCACAAGGGUGGGGGUAGGAUAAAAGAAGUAGAAUAUAUUCAGAGCAACUUAAAGUAAAAGUUCUUACAUUAGAAGUUUAGAAUUUAGUAAAACAUACUAAUAAAAUGAUUUGUAAAUUGUUACAAAGUGCAAAAUAAUGUAGCACAGCAGUUUUCCCGGUACUUAGCAACCAGAAAGGGAACUCUUAACAGUUUAAUCAUAAUGGAUGGAACUAGAGGGUAUUAUGCUAAGUGAAGUAAGUCAAUCAGAGAAAGACAAUUACCAUAUGAUACUCCUCGUAUAUGGAAUUUAAGAAGCAAAACAGAGGAUCAUAGGGGAAGAGAGAAAAAAAAUAAGACAAAAUCAGAGAGGGAGACAAACCAUAAGAGACUCUUAAUCAUAGGAAACAAACUGAGGGUUGCUGGAGGGAUGGGUAAGUGGGUGAUGGGCAUUGGGGAGGGUAUGUGAUGUAAUGAGCACUGGGUAUUAUAUAAGACUCACUGACCUCUACCUCUGAAACUAAUAAUACAUUAUAUGUUGAUUAAUUGAAAUUUAAAAAAACAGUUUGACCAUAGCAACAUGCUGGGCAUUGUAAAGAAAUACUGUCUUUGUCCUUUCUGGGGUGGCUACUAAAACUUACUUUGACUUUUACCUUAUAUUCAUCUGUAUGGAUAUUUAGAGAGAGGGUAACACCUGAUUUGACUUACACAGUUGAAUUUGGGGCAACAGAAGAAUUUUUAAUUCUGGAAAUGGAAAAUUUAUAUUAAAGAUUACCUAGAAACCUCAUAAAUGAUUCCCAGUUACAUCCAAGGGGAACCAGUGGAAUUUGGAAUUAGAUUUGACAGUUCUUUAGUAAAUAGUCUUUAAGCAAGGAAGAAAGGGAAUUGGUUAGCUUAUAUAAUUCUCUUAUCACCUUUAGUUUCAGUUUUGUUAUACUUCUGUUAAUAAACUCAGAGACAUUCACUUGAUAUUAGGAAGAGCCUAGAACUUUUAGGGAAAGAAGGUAACUCUAAAAAUGAAGGUCUUCAUUUUUUCUUCACUGAAAUGUACUUAAUAUUAUUCUAUUUAUAUAAUUCUUACAAGAUUAUAUACUGUUUUCUGAUUAUAUACUCUUAUCUAAUUUUACUAUUAUGUCUUGAUUGCAAGGGACACGCUUCAUUCUUCAUUUCAUGCAACAAGCAUUUAUUGAGUACUUUUAUGUGGUGGGUAUGGUCUAGACACUAGAGGUAGUGCUUUGAAGAUAUUCAAAAUCUUUUGCCUCAUGAAUUGUGAUUUAGUAGGAAUAGAGAGAAUAAACAAACAAAAAUAAUUUCAAUUAGAAGUGCUAUGAAGAAAAAAAAGGCAGAGUAAACAUUUAAUGAAACAAAGACUUCAGGGGAAGGUCCUUUUACAUAGAAUGGACAGGAUGUCUUCUCUGGGGAAGUGAUCAUUAAGCAGAUAUCUGAGUGCACAACUUCAGGGGAAGAGUAUUUCAGUGGAGCAGACUGCUCUGUAUGGGCUCUGAGGUAUGAAGAAGCCUGGUAUGUUUGUGAAACAUUUAUCUUUGUAUCACCAGGACUUAGCAGGUAAUUGCGCUCAGUGUUUAUUAAAUUAACUCACCUUUACACUGACUCCCCAUAUGUCUGACACCAUGCCUUUGUUUAUCAGUUUGUGGUUAUCAAAGGAAAGCUAACUGGGCUUUAUAUAAAUUAGCCCAUGACCCUGGCCUCAAAUAUGAUGCCCUAAUCUGUUUACCUGUCUUGUGUAAAUCACAUCUUUAUGAAAGUUGUAAUCCUUCUUUAAUGUCACAUGUCCGUCGUUUAGUCACCUUGUUCUGGAUAUGUGCUUUUUUUUUUUUUUUUUUUAAGUGUAGAGAGAGGGUCUGCUACUACAGGAUUAAUUCCAAUGCGAUCAGUUCUCUUAUAUAAUGAAUGCUGGACAUAAAGCAAAUUAAAAACUAUCGUUUGUGACUAAUGACCAAAUACUGUUCAGUCUGCUCCAAGGGCGUAAUUAUAGCACUUAACUGUGCUUGGAUAAUUGAAGAAUAAAUUCACUGAUUGCCUCCUAUGUCUGUAGAGUUACACAGAGACCUUGAGUUAAAGUGACUCUAAAGUGGCACUUGUAGUUAGCCCAAGGCUGUCCGGGAUGGCAAGCCUCAUUGAUUUGCUAAACUGUAUUGCUCCAGUUAGGGAUUAAUGUCAAAAUUAAAUAAUUGAACUGAUGUGUAUGUGUUUGUGUAACAGUUCCCUACCAGGAAACCAAAUUUUAUACUCUGCUUGGCUGGGUUUUUAGUAAUUUGUUCGAGGUAUUCUUAGAAUAGGGAGUAACAGUAAGCACAAAAUCUAUUAAGGCGUUUCUGUUAGAGCGUUAGACUUGCUUGCUAAAUUCCUCAAUGAAAGUCUCACAUAGACUCCAUUAUUGUUUUUAAAACCCAAUGUGUAGUCUUGGCCUUAACUGCUCACUGAACUGGUAUCUGCUGUUUUUCCCUGUUUUUCCACUAGAUCUGUAUCUAAUUUAUGGUAAAGAGACCACAAAAACAAAAAUUACUUCUAUUUCGGCACAUAACACCAUUACAGUUAAGGGUCUGUUGGCAUUUCUACUAGAACGUUUUCUUAGAGAAGUUUAUAACUUGGCAAUUUUACUUGGCUUUGGGCUGAAACAUUGCUAUUUCUGUCCAAAAGUAAAUUAUGUUACCAAAUUUCAUAUAACUGGAUUUGCCUUAUUUGAUAAUGUGUGGAGAGGGAAGGGCUGUCACACACAAUAGGUCUUUUUUCAUGUUCUCACAGGCUGUUUGAUUACACAGUAGUAUUGGGUGUGGUGUUUAGUCUUACAUUUUAGUCUUACGUCGGUAAGAUUUUAUUUUUUUUAAUGUUUUGAAAUAAGUUGGUUUAACAGGGUUAAGAUAAUUCAUUUUCAUGGGUUCUUCCCUUUAAAGAAUUGUAGUACUGUGAUGAUUUUUAGUUCUUUUUACAUUAUUAACUUAUUAUAAAAUUUAAAAGCACUUUGUGGCAGGGUGCCUGGCUGGCUCAGUCCAUAGAGCAUGGGACUUUUGAUCCUGGGGUAGUGAGUUCGAGCCCCAUGGUGGGCAUACAGAUUACUUAAAAAAAAAAAAAAAAAAAAAAAGUUAAGAAAAAAGGACAUUUUGUGGCACUCACUUUUGUAGGAGAGACUUGAAUUAUUCGGUCUUGAAAAAUAUUAGGUAAAGUAAGCCUUUCCUUGGUCUGUUCUGGUGGUAUUUAAAGCUUUAGUAAUUCAAAUAAUUAAAAUUUUCUUUAAUUUUGUUUGAUGGACAAAUCCAUUUCCUUAAAAAUGACGUAAGCUUCAUCAAUACCAACACACCAAAAAUGGGUUAAUUAUGUUAGCCAUUUACAUUUACCCAUAAUUUUACUUAUCACCUUGUAUCCAGUAAGUAUCCUUUUUGUGUAGGAUUUUCUCCAGUUUGCACUAGUUCAGAAAUGUUUGGUAAAUACCAGAGAUUUCUUUGAAAUUAGUCCCUAAGAAAAGGUGCCCCCCAAAAACCUCUUUUUACAUUCUUCGGCAUGCCUAAGUCUCCCCUACCACAGUUGUCAUGGACAGGAGUCCCUAUAUAAGGUGUUAACGAGUUCUUCACACGUUUAGAGAAGACUGCUGACUCACUGCCCAAAGUAACAUAGUUGAGGCAGCUUUAAUAAUUUGUCUCCUAAGAAAAUAGAAGAAUGGGUUAGAGAAGGCACGGUGAUCACUUCAUUCAGUCUUGUUAUUGUUAUCAUUUAUUGUUAGUAAUAAUUAUCAUUGCUAAUGACAACCUAGUUCAUUUCUAAGAAUUCACUUUCUUGCAGUUGCGGUUCCCCCAUCUCCCAAUCUGGAGGCCAGGUUUUAAUUGCAUUGCAGUUUCUAGUCAAGCAACCAUUAUCAGGGUUGCUCUUGCCAGGCUCUGUCCUGUGGUGGAGGGAUACUGUGUUUUCUUCACCUGGUUAUGUUGGAAAGUGCAUGGAUAAGGCAGGGGUCCUGUCUGAAGUAAUCCUAGGGUAUUUUUAAUGUCCUUUAAUUGCCAUUCAGGAUGUAAGUCAGACCAGACACAAUUGGGUCUGGUCACAGUUCAGAACUGCCUAGUGGUGUUUAUAUAAAGGUCAAGUAUAUUUAGCAAAUAAAUCCCAUGAAGCUAUUACUUAUAUAUAAUUUAUUUUUUUAUUAACAUCUGUUGAUUCCUAAGCAGUGUGAAAUUAGUUCCACUAUACCUGCGUAUUAUGUCUUUAUUUGUUUCACUUGUGAUCCCUGGAUAGCACUGGGGGUAAAGUGGGAGGAGGAAAUGGAAUUAAGAAUUUCACAAGGGCCUUGUCAUUGCCAUCAAACCAUUAUCAGACUUACUUGUGGUUUUCUAGAUGUCUGAUUUUCUUCAAGUUUGGUAAUGUUAGCAGAUGAAAAGUAGAUUAAGUAGAGUUUAAAUCCUCUCUCUAUAUUUGCUGUAUGAUUCUAUUUUGUUUUGCAUUGCUUUGGGUGUUUUAGUUGUGAAAAUUUUUAAAUCCAAAGGCACAUUUCAUAGUAAGGACCCUUCCCUCAGGGCCAGUGGAGGUAUGGUGGCCCACUUACCUUCUCUCUUCCUUGAAGUGAUUUUAACUUGACCUAAAGGUAAAGGGUUUUGUUGGUGGUGUUUUGUACUUAGCUCAGAUUACCUCUAUCAAUAUGAGAGAAUGUGGACUUUUUUAGAAGGGUAUUAACAAUUUUAAGAUUUGUCCAUGACAUCUCUUUUAUUGAGUUAUUGACUGUUAGUUAUGGUCAUCUGAACGUUCAUCCAUUGUGGUCUUUGAGACAGCAUUGUUGUUAGGGAGGUUUUUUAAAAAUUAAACAUAAUAUGAAGCUCGGCCUACAAAUAGUUUUAUCAUUAAUUACAUUGUAUUUCCCCUAAUUCUUACGUGUUAGGGUAAUACUUGUUCUCAAGUGGCCAACAUUUUUGACAUACUAUGCACAUAUAUUAAAAGAGUAGAAAAAUAGUCUUGGCAGACACUGAAAUGGUUAAUUGGCUUUUCCUGCCAAAUAGGUUUAUAAAACUUUCUGAAAAUUAAGAAGUGGGAGGGAGAGAAUUUUUCUUUGCAUAAAUGCCAUAUUUUAUUAACCCUUUACCUAUAAAGCUAUUUUUAGGGUAUAAGCAUUUUCUUGUAGCAAAUUUUUUUCAUUAGGCAGCUAGAGGAAGAAGAAUAGUUGAUUUAUUGUAACUGUCAAAUAUCUGCAAACAUUCCAAUAGUUAAAAGAAUUAUUUCGACAUAAAAUCCUAAGUAGAGGUGAGAUUUUUUUUUCUAAAAGUAAAUGAUAAUUUUGAGAAAGGAAGAAAAGCAACAGCAUGGUGACUUUGAGAUCUGUAAUCUUUAAUAGCUAAUUUUAAAACAUAGCAUUAUAAUUUGAUGGUUUCUAAUGAUCUUUAAUCAGGAUGUAUUUUUAUAUUCUUAUUAGUACUUGUAUAAAAUCAACAGCUUUUCAUGAUAAGACAUUUACAUCUUAAAUCUUGCACACUGCUCUCUUAGGAAAUAGAUGGAACAACACUGGAUAUUUAAAAAUUAAUAGGAAUAGUCUAUAUUUGAUUCAGAAAAGUUUAUAUAGUAUUCAAGGGCUAGUGGACAAGGGCAAGAGAGGGAGAAGCAGGGCAGGAGCAUGUGGGGGAAUGAGAGAGAGAUUACACUGUCCUUUUCCAUUUUAGCUGGUAGUUUGGAGUAAAACUGUAAAGUUAAACUUUUUGGAAUUGUUACUACCCCGAGUGGGAAUAUAAACUAUAUUGAACAAAAUUUAUUUAGCCUGUUAAAAAGUCAACCUAAAACUGUAGUUAAUUAGUUUACAUUAUUACAUCACUUCUAGUUAGAGACUCAAACUGGUACAGAGUAAGAGGAGCUCUAUCAGGUGAGCUGACUGCUACCCAUAUGGGGCUUUAAGAUAAUGAUGAGUUUAAAUUUCCUCUUAGAGCUAAGUGAGAAUAAAACUGGAGGCAAUAAAUACUCUUGGCCAAAGCCAUUAAAUGAAAAAGCUGGGAAUUCUCCAGCUCUUGACUUAAAUUGUUUGUUUAUCAGCUGGCGCCUAGUCUGGAGUCAAGAGCUGGAGAUUUCUAUCUGUGACAGAACUUUGAAACUCUUGCAGGACACUUUCAUUUAAACUUAAGGUAACUUGAGUUUAUAGCUUUGGCUUUAAAGAUUACUAAUGAUUUACUCAUUUCCUUACCAUUUAACCAGAGUGGACUUUUUCCCAGGAAGGGAUCUGUGUUUAUUUAGGGCCUUUGUCUGCGGAGGGAUUAAAAGGCAGCCCACCAGCAUUGUGAACUUGAUGGUAAUAAAAGGUCACCAAAACACACCAUAAAAACAUUCUUACCAUGGAAUUAAUUAUACAGUGUAAUUUUACAAAGCAGCUCAGUUACUCCAUCCCUGCCCCCUCCCUCCAUUCUUAAACAUUUCAUCUUUUAAAAAUUAAAGCUGUGGUAUAAUUUAGGUUUUUGAAAAAAUACUUUGCUGCUUUUAUGAUAUUUAAACAUUGAAGAAAUUGUCACAUGAAGUUAAUUGCUUAAAAAUUUUAAAGUUCUUAAAUAAAAUGAUCAUUUAUUGUUAAACUCUGGGAUGAAUAUCUUGUUUGGGAGAGAGUAGAGUAGUCAAAGGGAUGGUUGGAACUUCAACAGCUCAGUUUCUAAAAACCGAAGCCUACUUAAGAGUUUUUUUGUGCCACCAGGUGGCAUUGCAUCCAAACCUGCUUGUGAUAAAGGAAGGUUUUUAAAUUAAAUUCUUUUUUGUUCGAGAGGUUAUAAUACUUUUUUCUGGAUUUUGCUUUUGAAGUUGGCUUAAAAAUAUAUCUAAUAUCAACAUUGAUUAAAUGUCUCCAAAGACCUGGAAGGAUUUCUGAACUCUGCAAAUGUUUGCCUUUAGGUGGUUAAUAUUGAAAUGAAAGUAAAAUGUUGAAACAUUUGCAAAGGAUUGCUAUUUUUUUUUUUUUUUUUGUAAAAUGAACAUUUAAUAGUUAUUCUUGUUUUGCUUUUCUAAAUACUCGAGAGAGGAUCCUACCUAUAAAAACCCUCACAAAUGUUGCAGAAACUCCCCAAUAUUUCAGAUCACCCCUUCCCCCAACACACUCACACCUGCCCCAGCCCUUAUAAAAAAAAGUGUCAGUCCCACUGUAUGGGAAUUUUUAAAAAGACAGAAAGACCUCAGAAAGGUGCAAGUCAGUCCUUUUCACAAGUCUAACUAUGAGAUUCAUUAGGCAGUUCAUGCUCAUGUCUUAAAAGCUGCUUUUGGCAAAGUAAAUUCUUGCAGUUUCCUGUACUGGUUUUGAGGGAGUCUUUAUAGUCUUUUGAGUCAGCUCAUUUUAAGAAAGUGAUAAUGUAAAAGCAAGAAAAAAACCCCUCAUUACAAAGUUUAUAAAAGUAUGAUUUUUAAAUUAAAAUACAUAUUGUUCUAUUUUAUGAACCCACAUAUAUUAAUAAACUGUACAGAAACAAAUUAUUUAAUACAGCCUAUCCAAGUGCUAUGAUAUGUUGUCAGAAUAAAUAAGGUUCAGUGUACACUCUAUUGAUUUUUAUCCUUUUAAAAAAUGUAUUCACCAUGCAGAGAUGUUUAAUGCUUAGCUUUGAUCAUUUAUCAAAAAGCUUUAUGAAAUUUUUCUCAUUUUAUAUUCUUGUCUCUUCUGUGAGGCUUCUUAGAAGUGUGUACAACCUGUUUAAGAAAUGUAUAUGUUUUCAAAGUAAAUGUUUGACCUCCCACCUUGAUGUUUUGCUUUUAAACACACAUGCGCGCGCGCACACACACACACACUCUCUCUCUCUCUCUCUCUCACACACACACACACACACACACACACACACACCACCCAUAAGCCCCCACGUCUCUAUAUUUUGAAUAACUUGUUUGGAAUGUGUGUUGUACUAAAACUAAAUAUAUGCAGACUUCAGUAUUACAAAGAGAGAAUUUUGUUUUAAAAAUUAUAAAAAUUUGAAAGUAGUACUUUCGAAAAUAGUCUAGACAAAGGUACUCAAGACAUUUGACCCUGAAUAUUUUACUUUUAAACCUGAUACAACAGGCUGUUUCUUAGCUUUGUGGUAUACUGAUAUUUCUACUUAUUUAACAUCAAAAAGCUGUAGUGGUUUCUGUUUAUAGAUUGUGCCUGUGUUCUGGAAUUGCCUCCUGCUGUCCAUGAAUUGCUUCUUGGCUUGUUUUGUUAGAAUUUCUCACCAGGGUUUUUGUGAGCUAUGUAGCCAACAUUAAAAAAAAAAAAAAAAAAAAAAUUUGAUACAGUAGACUGGACUAGUAAAAAUUAUACUUACUGUUCAUGAUGAUAAAUGAGUAAACCUCUUGGCUCAGCAUAUCAGUUUUAUGUAAUAAAAGCCCAUGCAAAUCUCAUGUAAUAAUAUGCAUAUAUAAAAUUACCUACAAUGACUCUGUUUUCCUAGUUAUUUCUGUAAUAUUAGUUAACUAUUUUUUUGUAGAAAUUCCAGAAGCUUACUUUUUCAUUAAAAAAUAAUAGAAAAAAAUCCUUACUCAUUUCAGGGUGUGGGUAAUUUGGUAAUGGAGCAUUUAGAUUUUGGCUUCUUUCAUUUCAGUUGGAAAUAGUAUUGGUGUUAAGUGAGUGCUGCCAUGGGAACCUCCACAGAGAUAUAAAAGGCAAGACUGUCUAAGUGGAGGAGGGGUGAUGUACUAAAAUACCACUGGCCUAAAUGAUCUAUUAUAUGUGUGUCGCGGGUACAGGGGGAGCUGGUUUGAGAAGGGAAGAGAAAGUAGUACAGAGAGUAAAAGUUAAAACCAUGUACUCAUAGUUUUGGAACCUCAUAGGUGGAAGUGUUCUAAGUUUGAAAUGUGGUUCUUAAUUAUUUGUGUCAUAUGCAUAUGCUGGGAAUCUUUGCAUACCUUAUUUUUAAACUGUGUUGAUGGAACAUGUUUAACUUGAUUUUAGUUAAAAUAGUUCAGUGAAAUUUGAUUGGAAGGUUAGGAUAUUGGUCUCAGAGAUGGCUUUAAUUAUAAAUUUUAUUAAAAAUAGUUAUACUUUUUCAGAUAUCUGGAAAAUUUUUAAAAACUAUUUUUUGGAGACAUUUGGCUUUCAAAGCAAAACUGGCUAUGAAGUAUACUUAAAUACUAUAAAGUAUUGUUAGUAUUAGAUUUCAAAAGUUAAAAAAUUUUAAUACUUUAUAAAUAUUACUCAAGGAAACAAUGACUUACUGUAUUUGCAUGUGUAAUAUUGUAGGGUUUUCUAAAAAAUAAAAAUAAAAACAGCAAAAGCAAACAUCAAAUCCUUUUGUAUCCUUUAGGAGCACAUGUGUUGCUAUUAAUAAAGAUGAUUAGAGAAUAGCCAAUUUAACUGCAUAUAAAAUAACAUUUUUGUUUUUUUGUAAUUUAGAUUACAAAACACAGUGAAAUUGUGUCCAACAUGAGUUAGCGUGGUAGAAAAGCAACAUCAUAUUGCACUUUUAACACUAUGGAUUCUGGUUGUCAGAUACACGUGUAAAAAAGGAAGAGACAUUAACCUGGCAAAAACUGUUUAAACUUACCUUCUUUAGUCAGUCCAGAGACAAAGUAAAGCUGCCAAGGUAAUAAAACAUCCGGAAGUUUUUAAAAUAAAAAGAGUAAUUUAAAUUAAAAAUGGGAGGCGGGAGCGGGAGAAGAAAGAGGGUAAAAAAGACAGCACUCCGCUCCCCAGGCCAGGCAACAUCUGAUGUAAAUUAACCGCAGUGGAAGUGUAUUGUUUCCAACUCAGCACAAACAAUGCGGGGCAUCUCUUCUUGAGGGGUGGAUGUUUGCGUGGAAAAGGGGGUGUUGAGAAGUGAGCUGGGUUGCAGCAAGUUUAGCCAUCAGGGGAUUUUGCGGCAUAGAAAACGGUAGGAUUGAGAGUAAAGAAUGAGAAAGUAUGUUUGCAUAUAAAAUUAACCAAGUUAAACCUUCAAGAGGUGUGAAAUAAUUCAUAACUGUGAGAACGCUUAGUUGUCAAUAAUCUUUAAAGGGUUUUUUUUUUGGUAAAGAGACUGAGGCCUUAUACUGUAAAAUGUUCAGCAACCAAGGUACCCGCUUUGAGGUGUACUUUGGCAUAGGAUAUCUGUUUAGUUUUAGAUUUGACUUCUUAAAACAACAACAAAAAAAACUAAGAAAAAUGUAUUUCUUGGAAAAAUAGAUAGUAAGAGUGAUAAAAAGUCAAACUUAUCAAAAAAUACUUUAAGAGAAUGAAAGUAAGGGCGGCAACAUCUGUGUUGUUUUUCUCUUUCAGUUUUUGUCUGCUGUGCUCUGCCCCACCCCCACCCCCAUGCUUCCUUGGGAAAAAAAUCUGACAAUCUUAAUAGAGUGGAAAGCAUAAAAUUGCACAUGGCCUUAUCAAUAAAUGGAUUCGAAAUAGCUUUGCUUUAAUCACCUUUAAAAAGUUUCAUAAUAUAGCAUUUUCUAGAAGAAGGCAACUAAUAUUUAUUAUUAAGUACCUUUGGUGUGUCAGGCUAUCACAGCAACCUCAUGAAAUGCAUAUUAUCCUCAAUUUUUAGUGAGGAAGUUGAGGCUUAUUUAGGAAGGGACCACAUGACAACAUGUAAUUAUUAUAAGAAUUAGCCUGAUGUAGCAAAAAAGAAGGCAUUUUAGGUAGAAGAUUUUAAAAUAUUGUAUAGGACUAAUACCUUCAAGUCUGGCAUUUGUUUAGGUUGUUAGGAUAAUGAAAAAGCUUUCAUUUGUUUAUUUAAAAACAAAUUCAGUAGAAAUACUUUUUUCAUGCUCCGUUGAUAUCACCAUUUAAUGACAUACUCCACCCCAAAUCAAAAUAUAGAAAGAAUAAUUAGUCGACCAAAAUAGUCCACAUACAUAAUUUUUUUUUUUUUAAAGAAUUUAUUUAUUUAUUUGACAGAGAGAGAGAGACAGCGAGAGAGGGAACACAAGCAGGGGGAGUAGGAGAGGGAGAAGCAGGUUUCCUGCGGAGCAGGGAGCCAGAUGCGGGGCUUGAUCCCAGAACCCUGGGAUCAUCACCUGAGCUGAAGGCAGACGCUUAACGACUGAGCCACCCAGGCGCCCUCACAUACGUAAUUUAAAGCAAUUUUGUUUUUGGUUUUAUAUGCUUGAAUCUAGUCACCUAUAGGAAUAAAAGAGAAAAUCUGGAACCGGAAGUGAAAACCAUUUCUAGCUCCAAAUGUGAUUGGCAGUAGUUUGGAAAGAAGAAUGAAGAGGAAGUUCUUUCCCUUAUGUUGGUGUGUUCAGCAGGGAAAAACAAACCAACAUCCUUGUUACUGUAGCUUAGAGCACUAAAGAAGAGCCUCUUACCAGUUCCCAGGUUUUUUUGGUAGUCAUAUAUGAAGCUUCUUUCAUUUGUUUGUUGUCUUUAUUCUUAAUAUUCCCGGCCUUUAUGCACAUUGUUUCUAGAAAUGCUUACUACUGUGGAUGGAUUACUGUGAAAGGAAAGGUUAGAGCAGAGAAUAUUGGCAAGAAAUUUCUGGCAAAAAAAAAAAAAAAAAAAAAAAAGAUAUUCUGACCCUGGCCCUUACUAGGGUAAAGUUCCAAGGGAAUAAAGAUUAUUGCUGGUCAGAAAACCAUCCAACUGGAUGGUGAUGAAAACUGGAGUUCAGCCAAAUUUAUUUUUGUGUGUUUUUGCUCUUUUCCUGUUUUUGGUUGUUAUUGGAAGGGACCUUUGGUGGGUCAUCUGAUUAUGACAGGAUGAAGGUCAAGUUUAGUUUUGCUUGACUUCAGUGGUGUUACCUUUCUAACCACAGCGGCCUAUGAUAAUGAGAUUGUUCAUCAGAAAAAAAAAAAAGAGCAAUUCUUGAUCUUUAUCUGUAUAUCAGAUUUAAAUGGUGAUGUGUUUUUUGAAGAUUGAGGUUGUGAUUUUAAAAGGGUGAGCUGUGAUAUUUUAGGAUAUUUUAGAAAGUAUGUGCACAUACAACAGUGUUUUUAUGAAGGGAAGGUGAUAUGGGAAAACUGUAGUAACAAGGGUAAAGAAAAAUAAGGACUCCAGAAGAAAAAUACCCAUUUUGGUUUUGCUGUUUAAGGGAGAGAACUGGGGAAUUUAUAAAUAUUAUCAAUUGAAUGUGGGUAUAGAGUUAAAAAUAAUAGGGGAAAGUAGCACUUGAGAAUAAUAAUUUUGAUGUCCACACCAAACACCCCUUAUUAAGUAUAUUUGCAAUACAGUUAAACACCAAAAUAAACUCGAAAUAAAUUCCAAGAUAAGGAGUUGCUGAUUUUUAUUUUAAUUUGUAGAAUGUGUCGUGUGGAUAUGAACGUCACAACUGGGGCAUGAGUUUUGGGAAAAGGUACUAUGGCAAUAAGCUGUUUGUGGUUUCACACUCUAACCAUUUACUAUUUCCCACUUAUUUUCCAUUGAGAAUCAUAGAUGUGCAUCUGUGCAGAUGUGAAUCUUCACCUGGCACUUCUCCCUACCCUGCGAAGACAAAAUUUUAGCAUCUAAAAAAUAAGAGAUUAUUUUCUUUGUUCUUUCCUCCACAUCCCACAGUAACUUAAACUGAUUUUUUUUCCCAUUGGCAACAAAAAUGAAAGUUGAUAGACCCUCCAUUUACUUAUGUCUGAAUUUUAAAUGUUCUUGAAUUUUUUAUAUGAUACCACAAUGUACACAAUUACAAAGAGAGGACCAACAAACAUCUACUUACAAUUUUUCACACAAACCUUUUUUGAAGAGAGAAAAAAACCUUCCUAACCCUCCAUCUUUUGAGUCAUUGAUAUUUAAUUUUAUUUGCAUUAUUUUACUUUUUCCUGCUAAAUUUUAAUCAUAAUUUUAAAAGCUAAAAAGUAAAUGUAAAGGAUUCAGAAUAAAGUUUAGGCUGAAAAAUUUAUCUAAUUGCUUCUGUUUGUUUGUUUUUUCCUUGCAUUUCCCAGUGAAAUUCCUUAAAGUAAGUUCCUUCCUUUCUACCUUUCUUUAAAUUGGACCCAAGGAAGGCAUUUAGUAAACGUUUUUCCUCCGGACCCUAAACCACAGCUUUGAUGGAUUCUUAAGGGUAUUUACUCAUAUGUGAACCCAUAUCUUUGAUAUGGUGUUUGCUUUAUAAUGGGCCCUUUAAUUAUUCUUUCCCAAGAAUGAUUUAAGGCAAAUGGAUGGGAUCAUUCUCCUAUUCUCUUAAGGUGUUCUGCAUCUAACCUUGGUUUGGCAGGGGUGAUUGUGUUAUUGUAUGUCUAGUUUGAGUUGUACUUACUUUGUCUUGCUUGUGCUUCUGAGUGGGCAUACUUUUUGCUUUUCUUUUCAGUAUUCACUCAAUAUGUAAUUAUUGAAAUGAAAUGGCGAUAAAGCUUGUGUGGGAAAGAAGUCCUUGUUUCCUGUCUUUGUUGGCACUUGUGGGUUCCUAAUCUCCUAAGAGUCUUGGGAUGUAGAUCUGUACAUCACAACUAGGGGUGGGUAGUUUUUAUGGUGAGGAAGAGGGAAAAAGAUAGUAUUGAAGCAAUUCCUGUCUCGGUCUGCAAAGUGCAGAUUGCAUUUCUCUUUCAGUGGUGUUAGGUUUAUGGCCCUUUUUUGGGAAAGUGCUAUUAAGUGUUUGGAGACCUUUAUCUUUCUCUGUUUUGUUGUAGCAGAUGGAGUUGUCCUCUGGUGGUUUUGCUAGGUAUGAUAAAUGUAGUACUAAAACUGCUUGGUGGAAGUUUGAUCUGGAAAGAUUACUAUUUUUUUUGGUUUCCUGAAGAAAAUGGAAUCAUAGUAUUCAAACUCUUGGGGAAACAAGCCCAUCAGCAGAUCAGCAAUAAUAAUGUGUACUUUUCACUGAUGCUUGUGAUUUUUUUCUCUUCUUUUACAAAGGUUUAGGAACAAAACCCAGGAAUGAUCAGUUUUGUCUGAAAUAAUAUAAAUGGUAGAAAUAGUCAAACCUUUUCCCUCAGAGCAUACAGGGAGAGAUGUCUACAUAAUGAAGAAUUGUUCCUUUUUUGCAAAAUAAGAAUGGAAGCAAAGAAGUUAUGCAGUUCUUUUGUGUUCACGCAGUGUUGAAGUCUUACACAGCAUAGCUAUCCCUAGUUUUAUUGCUAAAAAGACUUCUUUGUGCAUAUUUAUAAUAUUCUAAGAAGCAUGUCCCUCUUUGGCCAUGCCUUUUUUUUUUUUUAGUUUAAUUCUGAUUAACUAGUAUAACUUUUAGAUAAUCAUGUACUUCCAGUAGCUUUUAUGCAAAUCUGUGGUUUAUCUACACUGGAGUUAAAAGGUGUUAGCCAGCCCUUAGAUAUUGUAUUGAAGCAAAAGUUUGAUCAAAUCCCUUGACAAACAGGUAGGAGAUUCUAACCUAACUACCUAAUUUGAAGACAUUGGUUUUUUCUUUCUUGAGGGAUUCCCAUUCUAGAUCAACUGGAUACAAUCUGGGAAUAAAGAUGUAUCCUGAACUGAAUCUGUGGAGUGAUUUGCAAAUAAUUAUUACCCUCAAUUUUAUUUAUUUGCAUUAAUUACUUCCUUAAUAUAGGGAAUUAAAAGUUGACUAGUUUUUGUAUCUGAAACUCCCUUUUCCAGCUCCUUUAUCUUUUAUGUCCUAGCUUUUAUGUAUUCCUAGCUUUAAUAGUUAGAAGCAACAUAGGGAAGGAUAAGGAAUGUCUGCCGUCUCAAGUCCCUUCUUUUUACUAGUGUUAGGGAAAAGGGGGUGAACCAUCAUCAGAGUACUCAGUGGUCUCAGCGGUGUCUGAAGUGCUCCCAGGUCUUUGACUGUGGUUACAGCACCUGAGGUAGAGUAUGCAAAUGAAUCUGGUUUGGGGGAAUUCUGGCACCACAUCCCACAGGGGGGAGUAACCUAUGUAACUGCUGGAAGGUUAUUGGCUUGUAGCAUCCAGGUUUUUCUUUCUACUGUGACUGCUAGGAAAUCAGAGCUAGAUUUUGGCACCCAGUAAUAAUCAUCAUCCUUUUCCCAGCCUUCCCUUUUUCUAUAUGGUUUCCAUUCUCACUUGUAACUUUACCUUAUCGCAUAUUUACUUAGUCCUUACUGCCUAGUAGGCACUGGGAAUACAUGGUGAGCAUGAAAGACCCGCUUUCCUUCCUCUUAGUGCUUAUGGUCCAUGUGUUUGUGUCAUAAACUAGCUCAGAAUCCUUUUUGGAAAUAAGGAUAUGAAUCAUAACUAUGGAUUUCUAGGGCCACCAGGUUUUCUUACCACUUCUCUAUUUAGAAAAUUUUACUCUGUGUACUUUUAUUCCUCCUCCCUUUGUUUUCAUUUUCUUUGCUUAUUUUUCCCUUCAAAAUAUUUUUAAUGAAAUGAAUACUCUUAUCUCCCUUUUCUUCUUAAAACUUUUGUAUAUUCUAGUUGAAUACAGUGUCUUAAUAUUUUUAAAAGAUUUUAUUAUGUGUAUAUGCAUAUGCACACAAAAAACAAAAAUGGGAUUCUUUUUUGCAACUUAUUUUUUCAUUUAAUGUAAUUUAAUGUGUCUUAAUAUAUAAAAGAUUUAUACUUUUUAAUAUAAAGCAUUCUAUUAAGUGGACAGACUUCUGUUAUAGAAAGGCCACUCUAAAUAUUCUGGGACAUAGAUCUUUUCAUGUACAGUGUAUGUGAAUUUAUCAGUAAGAGAAAUUCUAAGAAAUGGAAUUACUGGGUCAAAGAGUUUAUGUAUUUUAAAUUUUGGUCAGUGUUGCCAGUUUUUUCACCAAAGUUAAAUCUUCCAUUAACAGUGUAGGAAACUAUUUAUUAAUGGUCUUGCCAAUACUAUCUUUACAUUUCUUUUCUAGUCUGAUAGUUAAAAAAUGGUAUAAUGUGGUUUUGAUUUUCUUUCUUUCAUUUUUUUCAUUUUUUAUUUUAUUUUAUUUUAUUAUUUUUUCUUUUUUUAAAGAUUUUAUUUAUUUGACAGAGAGAGACACAGCGAGAGAGGGACUACAAACAGGGAGAGUGGGAGAGGGAGAAGCAGGCCCCCCCGCCAAGCAGGGAGCCCGACGCGGGGCUCAAUCCCAGGACUCUGGGAUCAUGACCUGAGCCAAAGGCAGAUGCCCAAUGACUGAGCCACCCAGGCGCCCCUCUUUCAUUUUUUUUAAUUCCAUAUUAUGAGUUUGAGCAUUUUAAUAAUGUUUCCUGGCCAUUUUUUUGUUUUUGUUUUUUUCUUUCCAGUGAUUUUUUCUUCCUAUUCUUUGGACAUGUUUUUAUUGGAUUCAUUCAUUCAGCAGGUAUUUGUUGAGUACUUAGGGUGUGCUGGGCCCUGUGCUAGGCAUUGAUCUUUUCUAAUUGAUAUGUAUGGGUGUCAAAUGCUCAUUCAUUUAUUCAACAAAUAUUUAUUGACGAUCUACCAUGUACUAAGUACUAAUCUAGCCUGGGAAUACAUCAGAGAGAACCUCCCUCCACACACAUAACACCCACAUUACACAUUCCUGCUCUUAGGGAGUUUAUAUUUUAAUGAAUGUGAAUACAUGUGGGGAGAUAGAUAUGUUGCAAAUAUUUUCGGCCAGUUUGUCCUUUCUUUUUUAUUCAUUUUGUUUAUUUAUUUAUUUUUGAAAUAUAAGAAAUUUUGAAUUUUUAUGUCAUUGAACUUGUCAGUCUUACUUUUUAUGGCUUCUGACUCUUUUGUCCUGUUUAUCUCUCCAAGAUUGUAAAAUUUAAAAAAAGAUUUACACAUUUUUAUUUUGCUUUGUGAUUUCAUUUUUAAAAAUUUAAGUUUUUCAUUCAUAUGGGAUUUAUUGUGGAGGGAAUGAGGAUAAAGAUCUAGAUUACCUUUUUUUCUUUAAAUCAAUUUAGUGAAAAAUCUAUCUUUCACCAUUAAUUUUAUAAACUCCAUUAAUUUCAUAUAUUCAAUCCCCAUACAUAUUUGGGUCUAUUCUGAGCUCUUUAUACUCUUAUAUUGAUAUUUCCUUGUUGAUUUUUCCAUAAGUAGGACAUUUUUACUUUCAGUUGCUUUAUUUUCCUGUCUACCCUACCUGGGAGGAUAGCCUUUCAUGGGUCUUUUUUCCCUUUCAGAACUCUCCAGACUACUUUUGCUUGUUUAUUGUCCUAAAUAGACAUGAAAGUCAUUUUAUCAUGUUCCUCCCAAAACAUUCUAUUAAUAUCUUGAUUGGGAUUGUACUGUUUAUAUAUUAAUUUAUGGAAAACUGAUAUAUUUACAAAACCAAGUUUAAGAUUUACUCAUUGAUCUUUUAUGUCUCUUACUAGGAUUUUCAAGUUUUCUUCUUGUAUAUCCUAAAUAUUUCUUGUACAGUUUAUUCGAAAGUCUUUUUAUCUUUAUUAUUGUUGUUGGUAUACAUGGAGCCCUUUCUUUUUCUUUUUUUUUAACAUUUCCACUUAUUCUUGUUCAUAAAUAUGAGAAGCUUCAAUUUUUGAAUUGAAUGUUAAUUUGAACUCAACUUUUUUUUUUUUUUUUUUUUUAGAUUUUAUUUAAUUUUUUGAGGGGGGGGAAGAAGUGAGCACAAGUAGGGGGAGGGACAGAAGCAGACUCCCCACUGAGCAGGGAGCCUGACCCUGAGAUCAUGACCUGAGCCGAAGUCAGAUGCUGAACUAACUGAGCCACCCCAGGCACCCUUGAACUCAACUUCCGUUUGAAUUCUCUUAUGUUUCUAGUAGUUUUUCGUUUGGCCAUCUUGGGUUUUCCAGUUCUAAAAAUGAUAAUUUUUCCUCAGGUUUUCUAAAUUUUUUAGAUGUCUUAUUUCUCCCUUAACUAAUUACAUUGGUCGAUACUUCUAGAACAGUUUUGAAUAAUAGUAGUGAUAAUAGAUGAACUUGUCAUUUUCCUGAUAUUCAUGAGAAUGCAUUUAUGGAUUUGAUCAUAAACACAAUGGUGGCUUUUGGCUGGAGGGAGAUUUUUUAAGAAAAUUAUGUUAAGGAAGUAUCCCAUGAUUCCUUAACGUGUGUUUCCAUUGGCACUAGAAAGUGAGCAAUCAGAAUAGGCGUAGUCCUAGCCCUAAUAGAAUUUAUAAUCUAGUUGAGGGGAGAUAGAUACUAAUCUUAUCAUGAAAAGCUGUACAGUAUUUUUGUUGCUGUGAUGCAGUGGGAUACGUUGGGCUAAGAGAGUGUAUAGAUAGGGAGAUUUUCUUGGAAGUCGGGAGGUCUUAUUGGACAGAAUAACCAUUGAUUUGUGACCGUCCAGGAGGGAAUGAAUUAAGUAGGCACUGGAGAAGAAUGUUCCAAAUAGAGGACAUUUGAAGGGAAGUGUGGUGUUGUAUGGGGCUGAACAGUUGGGCUGGCCUCUCAAGCUCCUUUUAGUCAUGCUGCUCAUUUUGUUCUUUGUACUAAGAACAGUGGGAAGUCUUGAACAAAAUUUUUAAGCAGGGAGGCAGCAUAAUCAGAUCUGGACUUUCUAAAAAAGGGUAAAAGCUGGGAGACUAACUGGGAGUCUGUUGCAAUAAGCCAGGCACAUGAGGAUGGUAGCUUGAGCUAGAGUCGUGGUUUCAGGAAAAGUGGUAACACGAUUGUGUGUUCGGUUGUUUUCCUUAAAGUACUUUAGAUUUAGGCAUUACAGGGUCUGUGAAAUUCACAGAGACUCCUAGCUUGGAUGGAACCAGGUAGAGGUACAGUUUUUGGAUAAGAAAUAUCCAAAUUGGUCCCAGUAGUUUGCUUUAUUGUUUUUAUCCUUGUCCUCCAUUUAUUCUCCUCUUUUCUUUUUUUAUUUCCUGACUAAAAAUCCAGUCCCUUUUCAUCAUAUUUCUAUUCUUUAUUCUUCAACAUCCAUUCAUCCAGCAAACAUUCAUUGAGCAGCUCCUGUGUUUCCUGUAUUCUGCUGGGUGUUGGGAAAGAGAUGAAUGGGCUCUCGAGGUCAUCAUCAUGUAUUAGAUGAGGCAGAUGCAUAUUCAUAAAGCAAUACAUGAUACUAAAUGUAGCAUACACACAGUUCAAAAUGAAGUUAUCCAUUUAGGGCCAUCUCAUGAUUGACCUUUUGGAAUAGGUGAGGUCUAAAUUACAUUUUAAAAGAUAAAAAGUGGGGUUCCUGGGUGGCUCCCAGAUCCUGGGAUCAGAUCGCCCAUGGAUGGAGCAUCAUGGCUCCCUGCUCAGCGGGGAGCCUGUUUCUCCCUCUUCCUCUGCCCUUCCCCACCCUUGUGCUCUCUCUUGCACUCCCUUCCUCUCCCAAAUAAAUAAAUACAAUCUUUACACAAACAAAAAACAAAUAAAUGAUAAAUAUAAAUUUGCCAAGGGGAGAAGAGGAGGCCUAUUUUCAGGCCACAGGAAUACAGCACGUGCAAGGACACAGAAACAUGAAGUAGCACAAUGUUUUUGCUGAAGUGUGGCAGUUGGAUAUUUCUGGAUUUUGAUGUUUCUGGUUGUGAGGGGACGGAGAAGUAGCAAGAAAUGAGAUGAGCCAGAUUGGCAAGACAUAGGAAGUUUCUUCCAGAAUCACUGUAUUUAGAAAAGUGUUUAUGUAGAUUGGUGGGGAGGGGGUCGGGUAGAAAAGGAUAGCAUGAGAAAUUAAGGGAGCAAUCGAUUUAGUUUUUGGAAGCCCACAACUCCAUUUAAAAAAUGUCCCUUUUUCUAGGCUAACUAGCAAGUUGUUAGACUAAGUUUCAAGAAGUCAGAUUUAGUUGUACUUUUUAGAAAAAUACUAGCUUUGUAAAUGUCUUACGUUGUGUCCUGUGCAAACACUUGUAGAUAAUAAAACUAAAUGAUGAAAGCACCUGUGUUGUUUACUGGAGGCCGUCAGAACUUGCAGUGGGCUCAGUGAUACGCAAGUGAGCUUUGAGGGCCCACGACCUCACCAAACUUAAAAUUUCCUUCCAGGGAGAGACUUGAGAUUUGUGGAGAAGUGCGUAAAUGAUAAUUGUGAUUUGUACUCAAUUAAUAGAAUUUACAUUGUGUCUCUGUUUAGAAAAGCUAAAAGCUAAGCUUAAAAUUAAAAAUUGAAGUCUUAGAUGAGAUCA